rnacentral:lncRNA from 1 species
CCAAAUGGUUGCAUAGGGUUUUUGAGCGUUCACAGCCCACCUGGAAUCCAUUAUUAGAUCCCACCAGCUCUACUCGCUGGCUCUACAGAAAGUCUCUUAGCAAGAAGUGAACAGUUCAUCUGUGUGUUUUCUACCAAGAUAGCUGGCAACGGUGUGGAGGGAAGACAGGUGGGAGUUUAAAAAAAAAAAUCAGAUGGUAAGGUUUGAAGGAGGUGAGGGUGAAAGACCAAAAAGAAAGAAAAAGUAUUGCUUAACUGAAAUAGAUAACCCUGAGUGAGUAUGGAGGAUACUGAACAAAUAAUUUGUGAUUGCUUGUUCUUAUUUUUCCCAUUAAAUUAUAAAUCCCCUAAAAAAUGUUGCUGCACCAACCUGGACUCACAGAAGCAAGGAGAAAUGGAAGUCAAGCAUCCAAGAUUUGAACUCCAGGUUCAUGCAGAAGCCUCGAGUUAGCCAAAUGCCCAGAUUGCAGAGGGCUGGGGAGUAGUGAGUUCCGAGGCUGAGGGAGAGUUGCUGGUAGACAUAGAAAAAGAUAAAGAGCUGUGGCAGACAAUAGCUCUGGAGAGGAAGCAGUUAUAGACAUCCGACAAUCUCCUGAUGUCUAUCUCUUCCUUUCCCGGGGCUUCCUGGUUUCAGAUUUGGAGUCACGAAGGAAGGUGAUAGGUUGGAUUGAUUUACAUUUAGGAUGAGGAAGUAUUACUAAACACCAUGAAGGAGAUACUCUGAAAGAUUUAUUGUCCAAACUGUCAAACUUGGAAACCUGUUUCCACCACCCACCCUUCCUCUGCAACCUGCCUAGAGGAACAGCCACAAGGUAAACCUAGAGUAAAAUGCUAUCUGACAAAGGGACAAAAAUAUAGAGUAAUGAAGAAGACCAUUGCUUUUUAAAAUUCAUUCUUCUAAGCUAUUGGAGCUGAAUUUCAUUGGAGUUACCUUCCAGUAUGGGGAAUAAAAAAAAGAUGGCACUUCCUUGAACCAGAGAAUUGAAGAUGAUCCUUAAACUUCAAAAUACCUAGAAAUCUUGGUACUAGAUCUUUUUUUAUACCUUCCCUUGUUUCCUUCUUCCUGUGCUUAUUCUGUAGUCUACAUAUACUUAUCAGGGACAAAAAAUAAAAUAAGUAAUUAAGAUGUAAAAUAAAGGAAAAUUCCAGAGGAUUUUUCCAUCUAUUAAAUACUUUUAUGACAAUAAUAACAAUUUUAAUUACUACUGUGGGUAAUUGAGAAACAUAUAGCCUUGCCUUCAAAGGGCUUGGUAGCUCAAUUUGGAAGAUCAUUGCCAUAUAGAAUGAUAAUCUGGAAGAUUAAUCAAGACCUAAUUUCAUGAAUUCUGUAUUAGCUGCAAAUUGGCCGUCUACUGAUAGGACGCGGAGUACUUACAAAGUAAGCAGAAAUUUUACAUUUAUUAUAAUAAGUGCUAAGAGCCUGCCAUUGAGCCACAUCAUCUGAAUGAAGAGAACCUGGUGUGAGCAAAGGUGGAAACAAAAAUGUAAGGAAAGAAAGAAGAGAAAAAAGAAGAGAAAGAG